GUGGAGAAUAACUGUGUGUGCUUUCCAAUGUGCUGAGGAGAGAAGAUCCUUUAAUUCUUAGUGCUACUGAGAUCUUAACACAACAUGAUAACUCUGGCUAAGUCUGUAACAGAAAGUUACUACCAGCUAAGGACUCAACCAUCUGAUUUCCCCUCACUGCCAUCUUUGACUGGCUACUGUGCCCUACGGAAGCUAAAUGUUUAUACUUUUCUACAUUAAGUUUUAUUUACAUAUAAUGAAAACCUGGAAGGUACAACAAAUAUAAUGAAGGAAAUCUCA